rnacentral:rRNA from 1 species
ACCAAGGCGACGAUCAGUAGCUGGUCUGAGAGUGACGAUCAGCCACACUGGGACUGAGACACGGCCCAGACUCCUACGGGAGGCAGCAGUGGGGAAUUUUCCGCAAUGGGCGAAAGCCUGACGGAGCAAUACCGCGUGAGGGAGGAAGGCUCUUGGGUCGUAAACCUCUUUUCUCAGGGAAGUAACACAAUGACGGUACCUGAGGAAUAAGCAUCGGCUAACUCCGUGCCAGCAGCCGCGGUAAUACGGAGGAUGCAAGCGUUAUCCGGAAUGAUUGGGCGUAAAGCGUCCGCAGGUGGCGAAGUAAGUCUGCUGUUAAAGCGUCUAGCUCAACUAGAUAAGAGCAGUGGAAACUACUUACGCUAGAGUGCGUUCGGGGCAGUAGGGAAUUCCUGGUGUAGCGGUGAAAUGCGUAGAGAUCAGGAAGAACACCAGUGGCGAAGGCGCUCUGCUAGGCCGCAACUGACACUGAGGGACGAAAGCUAGGUGGAGCGAAUGGGAUUAGAUACCCCAGUAGUCCUAGCCGUAAACGAUGGAUACUAGGCGUGGCUUGUAUCGACCCGAGCCGUGCCGUAGCUAACGCGUUAAGUAUCCCGCCUGGGGAGUACGCCGGCAACGGUGAAACUCAAAGGAAUUGACGGGGGCCCGCACAAGCGGUGGAGUAUGUGGUUUAAUUCGAUGCAACGCGAAGAACCUUACCAAGGCUUGACAUGUCGCGAAUCUUCUUGAAAGGGGAGAGUGCCUUCGGGAAGCGCGAACCAGGUGG